rnacentral:rRNA from 1 species
GACGAACCGUGCGAACGUUAUUCGGAAUCAUUGGGCUUAAAGCGCGUGUAGGCGGGUUCGUGCGUCUGUCGCUGAAAUCCCCCGGCUCAACCGGGGAACGGGCGCGGAUACGACGAGCCUGGAGGGGCAUAGGGGGACCUGGAACUUCCGGUGGAGCGGUGAAAUGCGUUGAGAUCGGAAGGAACGCCCGUGGCGAAAGCGAGGUCCUGGAUGCCUACUGACGCUGAGACGCGAAAGCGUGGGGAGCGAACAGG